UACAGAGGGGGCGAGCGUUGUUCGGAAUUACUGGGCGUAAAGGGCUCGUAGGCGGCCAACUAAGUCAGACGUGAAAUCCCUCAGCUUAACUGGGGAACUGCGUCUGAUACUGGAUGGCUUGGAUUCGGGAGAGGAAUGCGGAAUUCCAGGUGUAGCGGUGAAAUGCGUAGAUAUCUGGAGGAACACCGGUGGCGAAGGCGGCAUUCUGGACCGAUAUUGACGCUGAGGAGCGAAAGCCAGGGGAGCAAACGGG
rnacentral:rRNA from 1 species